rnacentral:rRNA from 1 species
GAUGAACGCUGGCGGCGUGCCUAAUACAUGCAAGUCGAGCGAACGGACGAGAAGCUUGCUUCUCUGAUGUUAGCGGCGGACGGGUGAGUAACACGUGGAUAACCUACCUAUAAGACUGGGAUAACUUCGGGAAACCGGAGCUAAUACCGGAUAAUAUUUUGAACCGCAUGGUUCAAAAGUGAAAGACGGUCUUGCUGUCACUUAUAGAUGGAUCCGCGCUGCAUUAGCUAGUUGGUAAGGUAACGGCUUACCAAGGCAACGAUGCAUAGCCGACCUGAGAGGGGGAUGGGCCAAAGUGAAAGAGAGACACGGCCGACACUCAUAGGGGAGGAAGAGGGAGGGAAUCUCCCGAAAGGGGCGAAAGCCGGAGGGAGAACCGCCGGGGGAGUGAUGAAGUUCUUCGGAUCGAAAAACUUUUUUAUUGGGAAAAAACAUAUGGGAAAGUACUGGUGCACAUCUUGAGGGCACUAAAACAAAAAGCAACGGCAAACUACGU